AUACGGAGGGUGCAAGCGUUAUCCGGAUUCAUUGGGUUUAAAGGGUGCGCAGGCGGACUUGUAAGUCAGUGGUGAAAUCCCGGGGCUCAACCUCGGAACUGCCAUUGAUACUGCAAGUCUUGAGUUUGGUUGAAGUGGGCGGAAUGUAGCAUGUAGCUGUGAAAUGCAUAGAUAUGCUACAGAACACCGAUCGCGAAGGCAGCUCACUAAACCAACACUGACGCUCAGGCACGAAAGCGUGGGGAGCGAACAGGAUUAGAAACCCCUGUAGUCC
rnacentral:rRNA from 1 species